GGGCGACAGGGAUCAUCUCAGGGUAAUCUACGGCUGUGAGGGGAGCUUCUGGUAGAAGAGCAGCCGGAGCAGCAACCUGAGCUGGUGCGGAGUUGACAUCUUCUUCCUUGGGAGUAUGAAUGAUGACAACAUCAGGUAGUGGUGUCUUUGGUCCAAGUACAACAACUGAAAGAUGAUUUGGUUCAACAUAUAUGGCAUAAAUUUGGACGUGAUGAAAACAACAACUCAGCUCAUAUGCUUAUUUCAAAUAAUUCUUGUUUAUUUUACUAAUCUUUAUUUUCAUGUUUUAAUUUUAAAAUCUAUGUUUAAAAUGUUAUCUUUUAUAUAAUAAAAAAUUAAUUUAAUAAAAAAAAAUUAAAUAUUUUUUUAAGAAACCCUAAAUAAUAAACUUGCAAUGGAGGAAAAAAAAUACAAAGUUUUUAAACAUGUCUCUUACCAAAAUUAACUCCUAAAAUACUAUUAAAAAUAAAUUAAGAGACCCAUUAGAGUAUAUGGGAUAAAGAUGCCCUUAGUACUUAGUUGAUUAGUGAUCAAAUUUGUCUUCCUGCUUAGAUUGCAAGUUAAGAUUCAAGAACUAAAAAAGUAGACCAAAGCAACCACUUCCUAACAUAAGCAAAAGCAGGUCGGGUACCCAAGCUGGAGAAGCCCAUCUUACGACCUUUUAUUUUAAUGACAAACUAGAUUUUGACAUGCGCGUCCGCGCGGAUGUUUUCUUUAAUUUUUAAACAUUUUAGAAUAACCCUAUUUUACUAUUUUAUGGUUUUAACAUAUUAGAACGACUUCACUCGACUUCAACUUGUUUGUUCAUGUUUAGCUACUGAAUUUAUUUCUUAAUGAGUAUUUCUUAUAACUGUGUGUGUUAAGUAAUCAUUUUAUUUUGACAAAUAUAUAUAACACAAAAAUACAGCAUAUUUGAGUUUCAAUUAUAUCUUUUAUUAUAUUAAAUCUAGAGAUGGUUAUUUAAAUUUUAAAAUUGUAUAUAAAUAUCAAAAUUUAUUUUUAUUAUAUUCGAAAAUAUAUUAUUUAAAACUACUUACAUAUGAUUUAAAAUAAUAUUAUUUGUUGGUAUAUGUUUUGAUAGAUUAGAUUUAUUGUAAAAAUUUGUUGCAAAAAUAGGUAGUUUAUAUAUAUUUAAAUGUUAUGAAAUUAUAAUAAUAUAGAAAUAAAAUUAAGAAUUGUUUUGAUAAUUUGUCGGCCCAACAAAAGAGAAAUUGCCAAACAUAUUGCACUUCAUCUAUUAUAAAGGCUCAAACCAAAAUUGUUUUUUUUUUUUGGGAAAAAAAAAUAAAAGAAAAUUACCGGAUUUUUUCGUUGUAAGGACUUUUCGUGGUGUCUUAUCUCUUUGUCUUUAGCUGAUAUUUUGCUGCCAACCGCGCGGGUAUUUUCUUCCACUUUUAUAUACGUAUAAAUCUUAUUUUUACAUCGUUAAUAGUAAAUAUUUUUAACAUUGAACAUUUUUUCAAACGUUUAUUAUUUUUUCGAACAAAAUAAUGUUAUAGUCAACAUGUUCCAAUCUAAGUAAUUGUUUCAAACGAUUACAUAUAUUUAUAACUUAGUAUUAUGUAUUUAUUUCAUUGGAUAUGCGUUUGAAUAUUAGACGUCUUCAUAUAUUCAAAGAUUAACUAAUUCAUUUGAGUUAUUUUGUAUUUAACACAUAUAUUAUUUAAAAAAUUAUAAGUAAUAAUUUAAUAUAAUAGUUUAAAUUAUAUGGUUAUGAAAGUUAUUAUUGUUUAGCUAGAUUAUAUAAAGUAGGGUUAGGUAAAAAACGGAGUUCGAAGAACCAAUCUAAUCCAUUCUGAAUCCGAACCUAAAUUGGUUAAAUAUCCGAACAUAAAAUUUUGGUUUCUAGAUAAACGGAACCGAACCCGACCUGAACUGAAGUAUUUCGAGUACCAGAAUCCAAAAUAGAAUUAUAUACCUAAAUAUAUUAAUUAAUUUAGAUGUAAUAUAUAAAAAUAUCCAAAAUAUAUUAGAUAUUUAAAGUUGUCUAAAAUAAUUGAAAAUAUAUACAAAUAGUCAAAAAUAAAUGUAUAAAAUAGCUGAAAAAUACUCGAAAUACCAAAAAUACUUAAAAUAUUUAUUGAUUGUCUAUUCAAAUAUUCAAGCCAACCCAAUUUAAAUGUUAAGUUUAUAAAUUUAAAGUAUAUUAUGCAUUUAAAUUUUUUAAAAAUAAUUUAAAUGGGUUAUUCGAACCCGUAAAAAUCCGAAUAGAAGCCAAACAAAAUUUUAUAAGUAUCUGAAUGGGCCAGGAUUUUUAAUUUCGAAACCCGAAUAGAUUGGAACCAAAUUUGAUUUGACACCCGAAUGCUAACACUUAUAAUGUAUUGCCUAAAUCAAUUUAUAGUUAUGAAGAAUAUUAUGUAUUUAAUUCACUUGUGUUUGAUUCAAACGAAUUUUCAGUUUAUAGUGAUUUGUGGUCAUAUUUUGGAUUGUCAAGAUUAGUUAUGAUGCUAGCAUAAAAAUAGGUAAAUUAUUCUGAAUGUUAUUGAUUUAGGAAAAUACAAAGUUAUCUCCCCACCGUUUUUUUUUGUCAAUCUGUUUUCAUUAAAUUUUAAAGCCCAAAAGUUUAGUACAUAAAGAUUGAUGACAUACAGCCCAAAAAAGUUCAAACACGUGAGUAAGGAUGAUUCUACAAACAAAACACGUGUACUAUUGCGAAAGAAAAUUUCACACGUGACUUCUGAUUAAAGAAGAUGAAUUGCCCAAAAAAAGAAUUGUGGGUCGCCGGUGAACGUCUUUGACCUCCAGUCAUCUUCUCCGGUUACCAUCACCAAUCUUCAAUUGCUUAGAGCUCCAGAAAACAGCCGUGAACAUCAACCCCACCUCCUUUACUAAAUGUCACUGUAUUUAGAGACGCCAUCAAAGACCCCUAAUCUACUUUUCUGAAGCUAGAAUUACCAUAUCGAUCCCUAACAUCUCGAUUUGAUCAACAUGGGAAAACUUACACUAAAAUCCAAGAUUCACAUCCGUGUAUAAUCUCGAUCAAGCAUAAUCAAAGAAAAUCGUGAUCCUUUAAAGAUCCAGUAAUUGUAAAGAGAUGCAAAAGUAGAAGAGAACAUCGGCAAGACGAAAAACGGAAUUCGCGAUUGAACAUGAUAAUCCCAUUAAACGAAAUUCGCUAUCAUUCUCUCUCUGUCGAUUAUACAUAUACACUGACGAAAAAAACUGGUUAUGUCGAUUUAAGUUUGCUGGUUUUGUCAAGUUAUAAAACGACAGUGAAUAACACUCCAUUGUACCGAACGGGAUUGGUUAACGUUUAUUUGGUGUAGGAAAUAGGUUAAAGAAACUGUAAAACUACCGUGUUUUUUGUUAGUGGCAUUUCCUUGUAAUUAUUGAAAAAAACUCAGGGCUAAUUACCAUUUGUACUUCUGUUUUAAUAGUUUAGAUAGAUAUUUCAGCCCAGAUUGCUAAGGUCUCUGAAGCUGCAAAAAUAUAUUUUACUAUAAUUUUUAUAAUCCGGAGUAUUUGGUGUACCAAGAUCCAGCCGACUAAUUUUAUUGGCGCUAGAUAGAUUUGGUUGCUCACAAUGAGAUUUAGAUAUUCAUGUCACAUGACCAUACAAACAGGUAAAUCUAAGAUUUCAAAUUCUAAAUGUUUACCAAUUUUCAAAUCCGCCAUACCAUUCGAUGAUUUUUAAAAUAUUUUAUUACAUUUUUAAUCAGUUAAAACCAUUUAUUUCUAUUAGUUUGCAGCUUUGUAAAUUUAAAACACGCUCUAAACCAGUUUAUAAGCAAUGUUGCAUAGAACUGUAUGUAUAUAGUAAAUUUGUCACAUAUAUUUCAAGUAUAAAAUAAUGUUAAUAGAAACAAGUUAAUUCUGGAACCAAUCAGAAAUCUUGACUUUUUUUUUUAAGAAACAGUUAGCUUUACUUAAGAUUUUCAUCUUCAUAAGGAAAAAAAUCAAUAAUGUGUUUGAAUAAUUUUUGCACAUUUGUAACGUUUGAGCCAACGGUUAAGAUCGAAUCUAUUGCGUAGAUCUUCCCUUGUAAAAACGGCGCGUUAGUCGAUUUCCCAAAGCUAACGGUUUGAUUCAACGGUUAAGAUCAGAUCAAUGGUAUAACGGCGUGUAAGAUCGACGGUUGCUAUUCAAUUUCCUUUUUUUUUUUGAUUUGUCGGCGUAUGAUUCAACGGUUCAGAUCGAAUUAAUGAUAAAUCCUCUGAGUAAGAUUGACGGCCGUUAUUCAAUUUCCUUUUUUUGAUGUUCCCGUAAUUUCCUUUUUUUGAACUAGUAGUGUAUAGUAUAUAGUUUCCUUUUCAUUAAUAUCAUAACCGCUAUUUAAACAACUCCAAAAGUUUCCUUUCUCUCUCAACGAAUCAAAGAUUCACUCUCUAAUUAGGGUUUUGUUUGCAGCGAAGUAAAAAGUAUGAUGGCGUCCAUGGAGUUUGUGAAACCAUUAGGCAAAGGCUCGUAUGGUUCAGUCAAUCUCAUCAAGUUCAAUAAACACGACGGCUCGAAGCCACACUACCACGCCGUGAAAAGCUCGUUCGCGCAUGACUUCGAUUCUCUAUACAACGAGUUUCAGAUUAUCUCCAAACUCAGAGAUUGUCCUGGAAUCGUGCGAACCUUUGGUACAUCUCUGUCGAGAGGAGUCAAUGAUCACGGGAACAGAGUUUACGGCAUGUCGAUGGAGUACGCAGCUGGCGGAAGUUUAACUUCUUUCAUGGAAACAAGGUCGUUGACGGAUACGAUGAUCAGAGACUUCACUCGUAUGAUUCUUGAAGGACUGGUCUCUGUUCAUGAUCACGGAUACGUCCACUGCGAUCUCAAACCGGAUAAUAUUCUCGUGUUUCCACGUGAUGUUAAUGGUGGUGUAACGAAAGAAGUUUCGUACGAGUUGAAGAUUUCUGAUUUUGGGAUGUCGACAGAAGCUGGAGAGGGGUCGGUGUUUUGGGAGUUUGAUUCUCCCUACUUGGGAACGCCUCUUUACAUGUCUCCUGAGUCUGUUCACUACGGCGUCGCCGAGAAGUCGUUAGACUUGUGGUCGUUAGGUUGCGUUGUGUUGGAGAUGUACACAGGACAGUCUCCGUGGCCGUUACAAGACUCGGAGGAGAUUUUGCGUCAUUUGUUGGAUGGGAAGGCGCCGGAGGUUCCAGAGUCUCUUCCUUGGGAGGCAAGGCAGUUUAUAGAAACGUGUUUCGCAAGGAAUCCUGUGGAGAGAGGAAGUGCUUUGGAUAUGUUGAAGCAUCAGUUUCUUCUUUCUGAUGAGAAGAAAGUGAUGGUUACCGUUUCCGGAAGUAGGAGAAAGUCGGUGGCUGUGGUACUGAAGUCUGAGGAUAUUAUGAAGAAGCCACGAAGAUUGAAGAUUAUUCCACCAAAGCCGCCACAGUUUAAGAAAGUUGAGAAUAGACCCUUGAGGUUGAAGAUCAUCCCUCCGAAACCACCAGGAUGCAAUCUCGUUUCUGUUCAGUAGAGUGUGUCAGUGUAUACUGUCGUCUUUGUAGUUGGUGUAGAUCAAGUUAACACACAGUUGUGAAAAUUGCACAGAGGAAACAUCAAGGAGAAGCCAAGACUAGUGAGACGGAGUUUGGUUCUUCUGUUAGCAUUGCCACUUGGGAGAACCAUCUCGUUACUUUUGUUAUAUUUUAGUUCUCCUCUUUAAAUAUGAUGUCUCUGCUUUGUUUAUAUUUGGUUCUACAGAACUUUGUGACAACACUUGGAGAAUUUAUGUUAAUGAGUUUUCUAUUUCUGUUCUCUUUUCAUUGUCAAACAAGAUCUCAAAAGUCUAGCUAAAAAGUGUUUCCAUGUGUACAAAGCUUGAUUAAAGAAGUAGCUGUUUUAUGAAUAGCUAAGGAUGUGUGGAUGUUCUUCCUAGAAACAGAGUUCCAUGAUGUUGCAGUGAUCCACAACCUCUUCUCCUUCCCGUUUCAGUUUCUUCCCUGAAACUUACUCCAUUCUCGACAACAACAGCUUCCAGAAAAUGAAAAUGAAUAUUAUCAGACGAAUGUUUAACAAAUGAACCAAAACUUGUCCAAUCAUCAUAUUUUUAUUGUCCAAUCAUUAUAUUUUUAUUUGUUUACGACAUCUAAAAUUGUAGAAACAGACUCUGCUUACACACCAAAGCAGUGGUUAAAAAUGCAGUUGAAAUUUACUGAAUUAUAUCGUGACCAAACAGUGAAUCAUUGCACAACACUACUACAGAACAUAUCACUCUGCAGGGUCGGUUGAAACAAUGUUUGAAUUAACAAAAUACGUCGCAACGAUUGAUUUUUUUCUUUUAUGACCAAAAAUUCCAUUGAGCUAAACGCAUUCAACAUCCAAAAAUACUUGACAUAGAUUUUAAAAACAACAUGAGAAAAAACUUGUCUGCUUCGAGGACAUUUAAACAACAAGCAUCUUAAAAAGAAGCUGAUAACGUUUAACCAAAAACAGAGGCAUCCCAAUGAGUUUUCUUCUAGGCGACAGGGAUCAUCUCAGGGUAAUCUACGGCUGUGAGGGGAGCUUCUGGUAGAAGAGCAGCCGGAGCAGCAACCUGAGCUGGUGCGGAGUUGACAUCUUCUUCCUUGGGAGUAUGAAUGAUGACAACAUCAGGUAGUGGUGUCUUUGGUCCAAGUACACCCUUAGGGUCCCAGUCAAGCAUGACCUUGACCUUGAUUCCAAGCACACCCUGCACCAUUUGGAGUUUAAACAGACAAGUUAAACAUCUCUGGUUCACAUAGUCAGUCAACAGGAGGGAACUCAGGAAGAAGAAACUCUCA
rnacentral:lncRNA from 1 species